rnacentral:rRNA from 1 species
UACGUGAGGGGGCAAGCGUUGUCCGGAUUUAUUGGGCGUAAAGAGCGUGUAGGCGGCCAGACAGGUCCGUUGUGAAAACUAGAGGCUUAACCUCUAGACGUCGAUGGAAACCGUUUGGCUAGAGUCCGGAAGAGGAGAAUGGAAUUCCUGGUGUAGCGGUGAAAUGCGCAGAUAUCAGGAAGAACACCCGUGGCUAAGGCGGUUCUCUAGUACGGUACUGACGCUGAGACGCGAAAGCGUGGGGAGCGAACAGG